UACGGAGGGGGCUAGCGUUGUUCGGAAUUAUUGGGCGUAAAGGGCGCGUAGGCGGCUUUUCAAGUGGCGGGGGAAAGCCCUCGGCUUAACCGAGGAACUGCCUGCCAGACUGAAUGGCUUGAGACCGGGAGAGGUGAGUGGAAUUCCCAGUGUAGCGGUGAAAUGCGUAGAUAUUGGGAGGAACACCAGUGGCGAAGGCGGCUCACUGGACCGGUACUGACGCUGAGGCGCGAAAGCGUGGGGAGCAAACAGG
rnacentral:rRNA from 1 species